UACGUAGGGCUCAAGCGUUAUCCGGAAUUAUUGGGCGUAAAGGGUAUGUAGGUGGUUCAGUAAGUCCUUUCUAAAAUCUUCAGGCUUAACCUGGGGUUGGGAAAAGAUACUACUGGGCUAGAGGAAAACAGGGGCAAGCGGAAUUCCCGGUGUAGCAGUGAAAUGCGUUGAUAUCGGGAGGAACACCAAUGGCGAAGGCAGCUUGCUAGGUUUUUUCUGACACUGAAAUACGAAAGCGUGGGGAGCGAACGGG
rnacentral:rRNA from 1 species